GCUCUUCCCAUCUGCACUUUGUGCAGCUGUGCACAGUCUUGACUAGAAGGAAGGUUCCAGCCUUCCUAGCUUCCUGCCUGCUGCAUGUACCCAUGUUUUUAACCACCCCUUUGCUCUCCUUCUCCCCUCUUUCUUGACCUAUCU